rnacentral:lncRNA from 1 species
UAAUGCCAAGAAAAACCUCAGUUAUUCACACCCCGAAGUGGUAAUACCUCUCCCGUAUUACAGUUUUAAAUACAAAACUUCUAUACUAUCUAAAGAAACAACCCUUGUAUUUCCUUUUUACCUUUUUUCAAUUCCUGUAACUCGUGUAUUUCCAUUUCUUGUCCUCAUUCCUCCCAUGCAAAAUUUCUCUUUAUUAUUUUCUUUGUUGGCUGUCUAGACUUUCCACUAUCCUCAUGGACAUCUGGUUUUUACAAUAAAUAUCCAUAGUAGCUUCCCCUUCAAAACCAGGAUAAUUGCAACUUCCUUUACAAGCCUUAUCACCUAGAUGAUAGUGAUGCAAAUAUUUCUAGCCAUAAUUAAAGACAGUCAUGCAAGAUAUUAACAUCCAUAUCCAGAUUAACGAGGUGUGAACAUAUGUCUAACCACAAAGGAAACCCCACUUAGAUGAAACAAAGUAA